GACGAACGCUGGCGGCGUGCCUAAUACAUGCAAGUAGAACGCAGUUGCGAACGGGUGAGUAACCCGUAGGUAACUGCCUCAUAGCGGGGGAUAACUUUUUGACACGUUAGCUAAUACCCCAUACUGUGAGAUUGACCUGCGUUGUAUUAGCUAGUUGGUGAGGGAAAGGCUCACCAAGGCGACGAUACAUAGCCGACCUGGGAGGGUGAUCGGCCACACUGGGACUGGGACACGGCCCAGGCUCCUACGGGAGGCAGCAGUAGGGAAGCUUCGGCAAUGGACGGAAGUCUGACCGAGCAACGCCGCGUGAGUGAAGAAGGUUUUCGGAGCGUAAAGCUCUGUUGUUAGAGAAGCGGUAACUAAAGAGAAAGGGACGGCUAACUACGUGCCAGCAGCCGCGGUAAUUG
rnacentral:rRNA from 1 species